GAUGAACGCUGGCGGCGUGCCUAAUACAUGCAAGUCGAGCGAACAGACGAGGAGCUUGCUCCUCUGACGUUAGCGGCGGACGGGUGAGUAACACGUGGAUAACCUACCUAUAAGACUGGGAUAACUUCGGGAAACCGGAGCUAAUACCGGAUAAUAUAUUGAACCGCAUGGUUCAAUAGUGAAAGACGGUUUUGCUGUCACUUAUAGAUGGAUCCGCGCCGCAUUAGCUAGUUGGUAAGGUAACGGCUUACCAAGGCAACGAUGCGUAGCCGACCUGAGAGGGUGAUCGGCCACACUGGAACUGAGACACGGUCCAGACUCCUACGGGAGGCAGCAGUAGGGAAUCGUCCGCAAUGGGCGAAAGCCUGACGGAGCAACGCCGCGUGAGUGAUGAAGGUCUUCGGAUCGUAAAACUCUGUUAUUAGGGAAAAACAAAUGUGUAAGUAACUAUGCACGUCUUGACGGUAACUGAUCAGAAAGCCACGGCUAACUACGUG
rnacentral:rRNA from 1 species